GACGCUGGCGGCAGGCCUACACAUGCAAGUCGAGCGGAAACGACACUAACAAUCCUUCGGGUGCGUUAAUGGGCGUCGAGCGGCGGACGGGUGAGUAAUGCCUAGGAAAUUGCCUUGAUGUGGGGGAUAACCAUUGGAAACGAUGGCUAAUACCGCAUGAUGCCUACGGGCCAAAGAGGGGGACCUUCGGGCCUCUCGCGUCAAGAUAUGCCUAGGUGGGAUUAGCUAGUUGGUGAGGUAAUGGCUCACCAAGGCGACGAUCCCUAGCUGGUCUGAGAGGAUGAUCAGCCACACUGGAACUGAGACACGGUCCAGACUCCUACGGGAGGCAGCAGUGGGGAAUAUUGCACAAUGGGCGCAAGCCUGAUGCAGCCAUGCCGCGUGUAUGAAGAAGGCCUUCGGGUUGUAAAGUCUUUCAGUUGUGAGGAAGGGGGUAGCGUUAAUAGCGCUAUCUCUUGACGUUAGCAACAGAAGAAGCACCGGCUACUCCGUGCCACAGCCGCGGGUAAUACNGAGGGUGCGAGCGUUAAUCGAAU
rnacentral:rRNA from 1 species